CAGAAAAUGUACAGUCAAGUAGAAAUAAAGAGCAAGAUCUACAGAUUGUAGAAAGGAAUACACAUGGAAAUAUUAGCGAUGACAGAGAAGUGGAGCAUGCAGUGUUUAAGAUCACGUAUAAAUUUGACUUGAAUGCUGACACGGAAGUGGUAGCACUCGUGUAAAGCCCUCCUCGUGUGAAGACCUACUUGGGUAAAGACCAACGAGUCUACCUGUGCGAGUCCACCGAGCAAGGACACCGACAAGGCGCCACUCAACAUAGCACUUAAGUAUCUUGUUAUUGUGUCUCUUUUCUUAUUUUCCUUAUACUAACAUGUCUACUUCACGAAUGACACAUGCCUUCAAGCACAUCGCUGUUAUCUCUUACAGACCAUUUACACAAUAUCGAUGCAAGACCAAACGCAACCCACACAACCUACGGCCACUUUGCACUUCAGCACCUGCUCCGCUCUCUUUCUCAGUGGGACUCUGGAAGUGCCAGUCAGCUGUGAACAAAGCUGACUUCAUUCCAGCCUUUGCCACGCAGUCCACCCUCAGAAUCCUGGCACUGACAUAGAUACGACCAGAGGAUACAGCAACACCUGCUGCUCUCUCCAACAACUUCUCCUUCUCUCACACCCCUCGACACACCGGUAGGGGUUGGGGAACAGGUCAGCUGACAAACUUUCUUGAGGAGUUGGAUGUCCUACUGUCCUCCUUGCCAGAGGAUGGUAGGCCACUUGUGGUUCUUGGUGAUUUCAACAUACACCAAGACAAGCCCCAGGCCACUGAACUGAAUAAUCUCCUGGCCUCAUUUGACUUGGAAAAACUGCACACCACAGCAACUCACAGAUCGGGCAACCAGCUGGACCUCAUCUUUACACGCCAGCGUGUGCUACAACACCCAGCCCCUGGCUGUCUGACGUCCUUCGUGAACAUCGGACUGACCUCAGGGCAGCUGAGAGGAGAUGGCGGAAAUCUAAAGAUCCAGCAGAUCUAGG